rnacentral:rRNA from 1 species
GACGAACGCUGGCGGCGUGCCUAAUACAUGCAAGUCGAACGAACCGCGACUAGGUGCUUGCACUUGGUCAAGGUGAGUGGCGAACGGGUGAGUAACACGUGGGUAACCUACCUCAUAGUGGGGGAUAACAGUCGGAAACGACUGCUAAUACCGCAUAGGACAUAGGAUCACAUGAUCCAGUGAGGAAAGGUGGCGCAAGCUAUCGCUAAGAGAUGGACCCGCGGUGCAUUAGCUAGUUGGUAGGGUAAAGGCCUACCAAGGCGAUGAUGCAUAGCCGACCUGAGAGGGUGAUCGGCCACAUUGGGACUGAGACACGGCCCAAACUCCUACGGGAGGCAGCAGUAGGGAAUCUUCCGCAAUAGACGCAAGUCUGACGGAGCAACGCCGCGUGAGUGAAGAAGGUCUUCGGAUCGUAAAGCUCUGUUGUUAGAGAAGAACAGCGCAUAGAGUAACUGUUAUGCGUGUGACGGUAUCUAACCAGAAAGCCACGGCUAACUACGUG